GCAGCAGCAGCAACAAUGUCAGGUAGAAUUGCUGUGUUACUCUUCACAAGAGGCAGUUUCAGGAGAAAUUCAGUAAAAACAAAAGAACGUGGAAAGAAAUGCAGAUUUGUGUCCUACUCAAAUAAUGAUCCCAUGAUCCAUCAGUCUUAGUUGCUGCCCCAGUUUGGCAAUCGCUGCACUUAAUGUGAGAAUAAGUGACAUUUGGAGUGACAGGCUCAUUAGGGCUUCAUUACAAGGCUGCUUGGACAGGAGGAGGAGACAGGCCCAGCAGAUGAGCUAUAAAACAGGACUGGCUGGCUCCACGACCCCAGCAGGCUCAGGGUUUCUGCACACACUGACCUGGAGGAGAAAGCACACCUGCACAGGUUGGGUGAGGUUUGCCAUGAAAUGCAGAGGAGGAUUCAUCACAGUCAGCCCAGGAGUGCUCUUCAUGUGGUUGGUCAAAUCACUACUUCCCACAACUGGAUACGCUCAAGGAAGCAAAUUCAAGACAGACGACAGAAUAGAAACGUAUCAGGCGACUCAAGCUGACAUCUGAAACCCACGGCAGCCGCGUCACUGGGAACUACUAGGAUCUCUGCACUGGCUUGCCAAAACCACAGAGUUUAAACAACUCUGAAGAUGACAAGACAAGGAGAACGAAGGGAAGGGCAGCUACAUAUCACUGUGCCAGGGAGACGGCCAGCUACAAACAGGUGUUUCUCCUCAUGCAUAUGAGAUCAUGGCCUGCGAGAGACAGACUUCACUGCGUUGACUCGCAAACAUGGUGUCUCAUCAUCCUUCAUCCCUGGCUUCCUCCAUCUGGACUUCUAUGUUACCCAUCUUCUAUCCAUUACACUGUCAUUUAUCAAUAAUAACACUUAACAAUGUUGGUCUUUGUGAAACAAUCCAAGCACGACGAUCUUCACUGCACACACACACGAGCACUGACUCGAUCACUGUCAUCAGAUCCGUCAACCAAGUUAUUUUCAUGUUAGUCACAGAGCCUUUAUUACCUCUCCUGCCCUCCCUCAACCUCACUGCCUCACUCUGACAAGCUCUGAUUGUCCCUUAAUAUUUGGGUGUCUUUAGGUGACUCUGGCGCUAAAUUGUUUACCCUGCGCUACUGAGAGGGGAGCUUUCAGCCACCCAGUCAGGUGCUUAUCUGAUGUAAUGGACCAUUGAUCACCUUUUACCCUCCAAUGAAUUAACUCUCUGUUAGUUCAAUAGAGAGCCCAGAACUACCCGAAUAUAUUGUUCCUCCAGGAUCACCAGACCUCCACUUACUGGUUGUCUCCCGUUUCAGACAGCAUCUGUACAUAAUGCAAGGAGGAUCGGGUUC